ACAAAACCUAAAACCACAAAAACCAAUAACGUGGUUAAUUUGAGAGAACAUUUUCAGGUCUACAGUUUCAAUACCUCUAUGCUGAUUCAACACCUAACUACUGGCUGCUGUUGUGUUGAUCAGUGCAGGUAUAUGACAAAAGUGGUCUGAACUCGAGGAGUCGUGUGGUUACCGCGGGACGAGUUUUCCUGUGGGACUCGGCUGCUCUCUACAAGACGGCUGCGUCCUCGAGUGGGAGGAAAAUGACUGAAUAUCUGUGUCUGUGAAAUAGCCCAAAACCCACUUGAGGCGCCCCCCACAGGAGGACAGAGGUACUGUGUUACUGGACAGCAUACAAAGACAAAGGACAAGCAGGACAAGGAGUGUUUCUCUCAUCUCCUUGAAGUCUUAAGCAGAGAUCUCACUUUUGUUUAGUGACAAAUAAAUAACAUACUGGUUUUAAACUGUAUUUGUCCUGUACAAAAUGCAACAAUGGUAUUUUGUAGAGGGAGAUGAAUUUGGUGCUGUACAUAGUGCCAAUUAAAAUGUGUUUAUAAGCAA